UACUGGGCGUAAAGCGCACGCAGGCGGUUUGUUAAGCUAGAUGUGAAAGCCCCGGGCUCAACCUGGGAUGGUCAUUUAGAACUGGCAGACUAGAGUCUUGGAGAGGGGAGUGGAAUUCCAGGUGUAGCGGUGAAAUGCGUAGAUAUCUGGAGGAACAUCAGUGGCGAAGGCGGCUCCCUGGCCAAAGACUGACGCUCAUGUGCGAAAGUGUGGGUAGCGAACAGGAUUAGAUACCCUGGUAGUCCACACCGUAAACGCUGUCUACUAGCUGUGUGUGAAUUUAAUUCGUGNGUAGCGAAGCUAACGCGCUAAGUAGACCGCCUGGGGAGUACGGCCGCAAGGUUAAAACUCAAAUGAAUUGACGGGGGCCCGCACAAGCGGUGGAGCAUGUGGUUUAAUUCGAUGCAACGCGAAGAACCUUACCUACACUUGACAUGCAGAGAACUUUCCAGAGAUGGAUUGGUGCCUUCGGGAACUCUGACACAGGUGCUGCAUGGCUGUCGUCAGCUCGUGUCGUGAGAUG
rnacentral:rRNA from 1 species